rnacentral:ncRNA from 1 species
AGGAGCCGUGUGAGGUGCAAAGUCUCAAGCACGGUUUUGAAGACGAGUCGGAGGGGCGACUCUCCGGCUUAGUUUAAC